rnacentral:rRNA from 1 species
CCUACGGGUGGCAGCAGUGGGGAAUAUUGCACAAUGCUGGAAACACUGAUGCAGCGACGCCGCGUGAAGGAAGAAGUAUUUCGGUAUGUAAACUUCUAUCAGCAGGGAAGAAAAUGACGGUACGUGACUAAGAAGCCCCGGCGAACUACGUGCCAGCAGCCGCGGUAAUACGUAGGGGGCAAGCGUUAUCCGGAUUGACUGGGUGUAAAGGGAGCGUAGGCGGUUUAGCAAGUCAGAAGUGAAAGCCGGGAGCUCAACUCCGGGACUGCUUUUGAAACUGUUGAACUAGAUUGCAGGAGAGGUAAGUGGAAUUCCUGGUGUAGCGGUGAAAUGCGUAGAUAUUAGGAGGAACACCAUUGGCGAAGGCGGCUUACUGGACUGUAAAUGACGCUGAGGCGCGAAAGCGUGGGGAGCAAACAGGAUUAGAUACCCGGGUAGUC